CCUACGGGUGGCAGCAGUGGGGGAUAUUGCACAAUGGGGGGAACCCUGAUGCAGCGACGCCGCGUGGGUGAAGGAGUGCUUCGGCAUGUAAAGCCCUAUCGGCAGGGAAGAAGCAAGACGGUACCUGACUAAGAAGCCCCGGCUAACUACGUGCCAGCAGCCGCGGUAAUACGUAGGGGGCGCGCGUUAUCCGGAUUCACUGGGUGUAAAGGGAGCGUAGACGGCCAUGCAAGCCAGGGGGGAAAGCCCGGGGCCCAACCCCGGGACUGCCCUUGGAACUGGGCGGCUAGAGUGCGGGAGGGGCAGGCGGAAUUCGUGGUGUAGCGGUGAAAUGCGUAGAUAUCAGGAGGAACACCGACGGCGAAGGCAGCCUGCUGGACCGCGACUGACGUUGAGGCUCGAAAGCGUGGGGAGCGAACAGGAUUAGAUACCCGAGUAGUC
rnacentral:rRNA from 1 species